GAUGAACGCUGGCGGCGUGCCUAAUACAUGCAAGUCGAGCGAACAGACGAGGAGCUUGCUCCUCUGACGUUAGCGGCGGACGGGUGAGUAACACGUGGAUAACCUACCUAUAAGACUGGGAUAACUUCGGGAAACCGGAGCUAAUACCGGAUAAUAUAUUGAACCGCAUGGUUCAAUAGUGAAAGACGGUUUUGCUGUCACUUAUAGAUGGAUCCGCGCCGCAUUAGCUAGUUGGUACGGUAACGGCUUAGCAAGGCAACGAUGCGUAGCCGACCUGAGAGGGUGAUCGCCCACACUGGAACUGAGACACGGUCCAGACUCCUACGGGAGGCAGCAGUAGGGAAUCUUCCGCAAUGGGCGAAAGCCUGACGGAGCAACGCCGCGUGAGUGAUGAAGGUCUUCGGAUCGUAAAACUCUGUUAUUAGGGGAGAACAAAUGUGUAAGUAACUAUGCACGUCUUGACGGUACCUAAUCAGAAAGCCACGGCUAACUACGUG
rnacentral:rRNA from 1 species